UACAGAGGGGGCAAGCGUUGUUCGGAAUUACUGGGCGUAAAGCGCACGUAGGCGGCUUUGUAAGUUAGAGGUGAAAGCCCGGGGCUCAACUCCGGAACUGCCUUUAAGACUGCAUCGCUUGAAUCCAGGAGAGGUGAGUGGAAUUCCUAGUGUAGAGGUGAAAUUCGUAGAUAUUAGGAAGAACACCAGUGGCGAAGGCGGCUCACUGGUCCGGUACUGACGCUGAGGUGCGAAAGCGUGGGGAGCAAACAGG
rnacentral:rRNA from 1 species